UACGUAGGUGGCAAGCGUUGUCCGGAUUUACUGGGCGUAAAGGGCGCGUAGGCGGUCGUGACAAGUCACUUGUGAAAUCUCCGGGCUUAACUCGGAACGGUCAAGUGAUACUGUCGGACUAGAGUACAGAAGGGGCAACUGGAAUUCUCGGUGUAGCGGUGAAAUGCGUAGAUAUCGAGAGGAACACCUGCGGCGAAGGCGGGUUGCUGGGCUGAUAUUGACGGCUGAGGCGCGAAAGCCCAGGGGAGCGAACGGG
rnacentral:rRNA from 1 species